rnacentral:rRNA from 1 species
GAUGAACGCUGGCGGCGUGCCUAAUACAUGCAAGUCGAACGAGGCCCCUUGUAUUCGUACGAAGGUGUCCUAGUGGCGAACGGGUGAGUAACACGUAGGUGACCCGCCCCGAAGCGGGGGACAACUCCGGGAAACUGGAGCUAAUACCCCAUGUUCUCCAUGGUGUUAGAGGACCGUGGAGCAAAGGAGCAAUCCACUUUGGGAGGGGCCUGCGGCCCAUCAGCUAGUUGGUAGGGUAAUGGCCUACCAAGGCUAUGACGGGUUGGGGACCUGAGAGGGUGGUCCCCCACACUGGAACUGAAACACGGACCAGACACCUACGGGUGGCAGCAGUAGGGAAUAUUGCACAAUGGGCGAAAGCCUGAUGCAGCAACGCCGCGUGCGCGAUGAAGGCCUUCGGGUUGUAAAGCGCUUUUCUGGGGGAAGAGGAAGGACGGUACCCC